rnacentral:lncRNA from 1 species
GCAAAAACUUUCACAUGCUGCUCAGGGCAAUCUGCUCGUGCAAAAUCGAAUCAGUGAAGCCAAUGCCAUGUCUUUGCUGCCCGCUACAACUUUAAAGUGUAUUUCACAGAGUUUUGUUUUUGGUUUUCCCCCUCAGCGAUGUCAUUUGGAGAAUGUUCAAAAAUGGCAAAGCAAAGAGAAGAGACACAUUAAAGAUUUCUGGAAAACGACUUUUAACACACUUUAGGCCCAUCGCUAGCUAUUGCAAAUGUAUUCAGCUCUUCCCUGAAAGGCAUUAGCAGUGAGGAAUAAAAUCAAGUCCUGCCAGGAAUCUCUCACGAUCCCUCCCACGCAUAGUUGAUUAAUGGACUCUAGUUAGGCUGGGUUUUAAUAUGCUUUGCUAUCCGGUGGCACAUGGUCGGGGAGCAGAGAGGCCGAGUCCUGGAAAAGGCACGUGUGCAGAGCACAUGACCUUGGGCGGAGUUCUGAGUGGGAUGAAUCCAGGGACUUUGAUGGUGGACACAAUGAAAGAGACAAUCAAUCUCUACAGAUCUGCUAUGGAAGAAAAACCACAGCCCAUCCGCAUACCCCAGAGGACCCAGGGAGGAGCAAAACAGAAACCGGAUCUCCAUAGGAAGCGGUGUUACCAGAACGCCUGGGGCCGCGGUAGAAUUCCUGACCUUGCCAUAUCUCUAGCACACUCUGGGUGCCAGUGGCUGGGAAGGGGGUGGAAAGAACUCAAGCGGAUGGCAGAACCACGUUUGAUGUACGGAGAUGUCCUCCAGAGUCUCUGGCAUUUGAACACUUGGUCCUCAGUUGGUGAUGCUGUUUGGGGAAGCUUGAGAGGCAUAGCUGGAGAAAGUACAGCGAUGGUGGUGGGUUUCGAGAGGCAAAGCCUCAUGCCAUCCCAGCUUGCUGUCUCUGUGCUUUGUGUUUGUGGUUCAAGAUGUGAGGUCCCGGUUUCCUGCUCCUGCUCCUGCCCCACACCUCAUUUCACUCCUGUGGACUCUUACUCUUCAGGAACAGUGACACUAGCUGAUGUCAAGUUGACAAGACAACAACAAACCUAACGAGCAUAGCACAGAUGGAUGCAAAUGGAAGCUGGAAGGUCAUUAGGAGAAGUUCCUGCCCCCCAUGACCUACUGCUAGAAGAGCUGCUUCCGGUCUAUAAAGCAAGCAGCAGGUGCCCAGGACUUACUGCUGAGCCCCUUGCAGGCUAAGCUAGACAAAGGGUCCUGAUUUCCCAGGAAGUGUCUGUUGGAGUGGGUACAGUACGGCUGUGGAAACACAAAGGAGCUGCCUCUCUCCAUCCCGAAGCGGUAAUAAGUUCUCUACCCACGAAGGGACACACUUGCUCGGGAUAGAGCAGGAAAGAUCCCGUCAUCAACAAGGCAAAGCACAAGGUGCUUGGGCUUCACUUCUAGACUUAAUCUCCCUCCCAUGCAGAUGUGCUGAACCUUCCAGAAACUGGUCUUUGUCGCCCCAAGCAAACAGCCACAUAGAAAAUCUGUGAGUCAGUCAGCCUGUUCCUGUUGGUCCACCCAGGCUGGAACACACUAAAAGCCCAAACAAAACAAGUGUGGCUCUUACAAGCAGGAGGACGAUAAGGGAUCCGGUUAGAGGCUUUGCCCAGUGACCCACUGGCUGUUCAUUCUGUGAAUUCUGCCCAGGAAUUUACAAGGAAUCCAAGGUCUGUGAUUGGGAAACUGGGAAGAGAGCCAUCAGGCCGAGUUGGCAGUGAAAAGCUGGGUGAAACAGCGGAUAUCUGGUAAGAACUGGGCUGAGUUUUAUCCACACUUACUCCCUCCCCUCAGAAGUGCAAAGGAAGACUACACCGCCUUAUCCCGUUGCAAAAAUGAAAAAUCAUUUCUUAUAUGGAACUGAACACUGAGUCCUAGAGACAGGGAGGUAGACCCACUGCCAGAAAUGACAUCAUUAGGUAGAACAAGCCAAGGCCUUGUGACUCCAACAAUGGCUCCCCCGUCCAAUGUCACCACAUCAACACAGCCUCCGGAAGAUCUUGGCCCCUGCAGGUCUGGUGCCUGUCUGUUCCCACAAUGCUUUUCUGCAGACAUUUACCACUCUCUCCGGUCAAAGGCAUCUAAGCACUUGUCAAGGUGUCCUGAGAUGGAUUCUCUCUGCAGUUACUUGCUCACUUUUCCUGAAGGGGAAAGUGACCUCCUCAUGGCCUCGCUUGUGGAUCCCUAGCCCCUUGUGGGGUGGUUCUGAGUAUCUGAAGCAGCCGCUUUGGAGAUGGGUGGUCCUGAGUUCAAGACAUACUUUUUAAUCUGUGUAAUCUUAGACAAAUUAUUUAAUAUCUCUUUGCCACAGAUUCCCCCAAGUUUUAAAUGAGAACAGAAACCAUUUCCCAGCACAGUCAGGAAGAUUAAUGGAUCAUUAGUAUCCAGCAAGGGGCCUGAAUGUGGUAACAGCAGAAUAAAGCUGUGACUGUCUCGGGAACCCCAUUACUCACCUGCCCUGGAUUGUGGCAGGGAAGAAUAGUUUCAUAGAUGGAGAAGACCCCUGUCCCCCCAAAGAAAGUGUGACUCACAGAGCAGCUUUCUGCCUUGCUGCAAACCACCCACCCACAGUCCCCUCUCCUUGAUGUCACCACUAUUAGACUGUUCUCCCAUUACACUAGAAGAGAGGGUUGAGGGCCAGCCUCUGCCCAGAAUGGGGACAUCCCAAGGCAAACCAGAAAGCAAAGGAAGCUGAAGGAGGCAGCUUAGAUGUGCCCUCUCUCGGGAGAAGCAGCCAUAAAAGAGCUCUGGCUGCUGCUUCCCUCUUGAUAAAUGCCCUCUGCUUCUCCAGCCAGAGCGACUGCCAGGAGUCAGCCUUGGUUGAAGUUGUAUGUUUUCCCCUGAGCAGUGACCUCAGUGCAGUCUUUCUAGGGAUUCAUAAUCCCUGGGAAUGCUGACAGCCCCAAAGUCACUGCCUCCUCCCAACUCUGCUCUUCUGGUGACAAGGAGGCCUCCAGCUCCUCAGUGGGAUAGACUCCAGGACUGCAGGGAUGGCUUCUCUGUCACUGUAACUCACAGCUUCCUGAAUGCUGAUGGACCUACCAGGCCACUGGGCACCCAGGGCUAAGCCUUUGCUGCUCACCUUCAGGUUCAUUGGUUCUCAGAACAGGGAAAGGAAGGGCUGAUGGGGACCCACCUGUGUGACACUCUGAGGUGAGUUCAGGGGGACUAAGCCGACUGGUACACAUGUAACCACAAGCCAGGCUUUGCGAGUGAAGGAUGCUCCCCAGCUAUGUGAUUGUGUCAUUUUUAUCUCUGGUCCUAUGGAGAACUGGGACUUGGUAGGUGCUGGGAGGGAGCAGAAACUUCAGGGCGCACAUGAGCAUAGUCUAGAAUUCUCUAGGAAGGAGGAAGAGGACAGAAUGGCUAGCUAGCACAAGUGCCUGAGGGACAGUGAAAUUGGUGGUGAUCAUUACUGCAACUUUGAGCUAAACUUGGGGUUGUCUGGGAGGUAAUCAGAGAAAUAGGAGGCUUGGGGUUACCUUGCACUAGUUGCAAGCAGGCCAUCCAUUGGGCUCUCGUGAAUUCAAGCCCCUCAGCCUUGUCUUAGCUGGGAAGCCUGGUUAUUGGCUACCAGUCCAGUGACAUGGGAAGAGCACAUUGAUAUUUUGAGGGACAGACCUGCAUCCUGUUACUUGCCUUCCAAUAUGAGGAGCCCUGACCCACCCUACCCCCCAAUCUGACCCAGCUAUCAGGUUUUAGGUUUUAGGACAACUGUUCCUAGUGCUAACCCCAGAAGAAGAGCCAGCUCCAAUCUGCCCCCCUUCCUUACACACUCAG